rnacentral:rRNA from 1 species
AGGACACGCUGGCGGCGUGUCUAAUACAUGCAAGUCGAACGGUCUUUCUAUGGAAGCUUGCUUCCACUGAGAAGAUAGUGGCGAACGGGUGAGUAACACGUGGGUAACCUGCCCAUAAGAGGGGGAUAACAUCCGGAAACGGGUGCUAAUACCGCAUAGUUUUCUUGAUCGCAUGAUCGGGAAAGGAAAGACGGCCUUUGUGCUGUCGCUUAUGGAUGGACCCGCGGCGUAUUAGUUAGUUGGUGAGGUAACGGCUCACCAAGACGAUGAUACGUAGCCGACCUGAGAGGGUGAUCGGCCACAUUGGGACUGAGACACGGCCCAAACUCCUACGGGAGGCAGCAGUAGGGAAUCUUCCGCAAUGGACGAAAGUCUGACGGAGCAACGCCGCGUGAGUGAAAGAAGGUUUUCGGAUCGUAAAACUCUGUUGUCAGAGAAGAACAAGUUGGAGAGUAACUGCUCCAGCCUUGACGGUAUCUGACCAGAAAGCCACGGCUAACUACGUGCCAGCCGCGGC